rnacentral:rRNA from 1 species
CAUCAUAUGCUGGCUGUCCGGGUGUGUAAAAUACACCUGUUAGCAAGGGCCGGGCAAGACCGGUGCCAGCCGCCGCGGUAACACCGGCGGCCCGAGUGGUGAUCGUGAUUAUUGGGUCUAAAGGGUCCGUAGCCGGUUUGGUCAGUCCUCCGGGAAAUCUGACGGCUUAACCGUUAGGCUUUCGGAGGAUACUGCCAGGCUUGGAACCGGGAGAGGUAAGAGGUACUACAGGGGUAGGAGUGAAAUCUUGUAAUCCCUGUGGGACCACCUGUGGCGAAGGCGUCUUACCAGAACGGGUUCGACGGUGAGGGACGAAAGCUGGGGGCACGAACCGGAUUAGAUACCCGGGUAGUCCCAGCCGUAAACGAUGCUCGCUAGGUGUCAGGCAUGGCGCGACCGUGUCUGGUGCCGCAGGGAAGCCGUGAAGCGAGCCACCUGGGAAGUACGGCCGCAAGGCUGAAACUUAAAGGAAUUGGCGGGGGAGCAC